rnacentral:rRNA from 1 species
GAUGAACGCCGGCGGCGUGCCUAAUACAUGCAAGUCGAGCGAAUGGAUUAAGAGCUUGCUCUUAUGAAGUUAGCGGCGGACGGGUGAGUAACACGUGGGUAACCUGCCCAUAAGACUGGGAUAACUCCGGGAAACCGGGGCUAAUACCGGAUAACAUUUUGAACUGCAUGGUUCGAAAUUGAAAGGCGGCUUCGGCUGUCACUUAUGGAUGGACCCGCGUCGCAUUAGCUAGUUGGUGAGGUAACGGCUCACCAAGGCAACGAUGCGUAGCCGACCUGAGAGGGUGAUAGGCCACACUGGGACUGAGACACGGCCCAGACUCCUACGGGAGGCAGCAGUAGGGAAUCUUCCGCAAUGGACGAAAGUCUGACGGAGCAACGCCGCGUGAGUGAUGAAGGCUUUCGGGUCGUAAAACUCUGUUGUUAGGGAAGAACAAGUGCUAGUUGAAUAAGCUGGCACCUUGACGGUACCUAACCAGAAAGCCACGGCUAACUACGUGCCAGCCGCCGCCGUAA